CAGCAAGAUGGCUUUGAAACGCUUUCACAACGAAGGUGUGCUCCACUGGGCACCACAACAUACGGUUCAGACGUUUAAAGCCUGUCUCAGCCCAAUUUCCUCUCCAUUUGCUCCCUGGGUAAGGUAUCCCCCCUUCAGUGCAGGCAGAACUGGCGACUUGCUUCUAAUCAACAAAAUAUGGCAAAGUGGUGGAGUCUAGAAGUCUGAGAUCAGGGCACCAGCCUGGCCGAGUUCUGAUGGCGUCUCGCUUUGUCACCCAGGCUGGAGUGCAGUGGCGCGAUCUCGGUUCACUGCAACAUCUACCUCCCAGGUUCAAGUGAUUCUCCUGCCUUAGCCUCCCGAGUAGCUGGGAUUACAGGCACCCACCACCACAUCCGGCGAAUUUUUUGUAUUUUUAGUAGAGACAGGGUUUCACCAUGUUGGCCAGGAUGGUCUUGAUUUCCUGACCUGGUGAUCUGCCCACCUUGGCCUCCCAAACUGCUGGGAUUGCAGGCGUGAGCCACCGUGCCUGGCCGACCACUGAUCUUUUCACUGUAUCCACAGUGUUGCCUUUUCCAGAAUGUCAUAGAAUUUGAAUCAUACUAUAUGUUGCCCUUUCAGAUGAGUUUCUUUCACUUACUAAUAUUCAUUUGUUUCCUCCAUGUCUUUUGGCUUGAUAAUUCAUUUCUUUUUAUCACUGAAUAAUAUUCCAUUGUCUGAUGUACCACAGUUUAUUUACGCAUUUACCUACUGAAGGAUAUCAGGACAUCUUAGUUGCCUCUGAGUUUUUGGCAAUUAUGAAUAAAACUGCUAUAGAAAGAUGUGUGCAGGUUUUUCUGUGGAUAUAGUUUUCAACUCCUUUGGGUAACUCCAAGGAGUGUGGUCGCUGGAUCAUAUAGUAAGAGUAUGUGUAGUUUUGUAACAAAUAGCCAAAUGUUCUCCAAAGUGGCAUUAGCAUUUUGCUUUCCCACCAGCAAGGAAUAAGAGUUCCUGUUGCUCUGUAUCCUCACCAGCAUUUGGUGGUGUCAGUGUUCUGGAUUUUGGCCAUUGUAAUAAAUGUGUGGUGUUAUCUCAUUGUUGUUUUAAUUUGCAUUUGCCUGAUGACAUACAAUGUGGAACAUCUUUUUAUUGAAGCUAAUGUUUUAAGCCUGGCAAUUUAGUCUCUUCUCUUCCUGUAACCCUGAGCCACUGAGCACAGCUUUCUCCAGAAGCACCUGUGAGUCACUAUACACCACUGCUAUCUCCUGAAUGCUGGAGGCACUGGAGUGGGCCCUUUCAACUUUCAUUUUCUUAUUACCUAGAGAACUUGGCAUUGGUAGAUGCCCAAAAAAUGUAUGUGAGAUGCCUGCACAUUAAAAGACUGGCUGAAAACUUAAGCAGUAUACUGGUUUAGAUCAUUCAUCGCUGUCGGCAAGAGUAAAAAGCUAUGUAGCAGCAUUCUGAAGUAAUAAGCAACAGGCAUGUUAUUUCAGUUUCCAGAUCAAGUGCUGCUCUCAAAAUUGCAAAUUGACUUCUGGCCAGAGCCCUCUUGGAAGUUUCCUCAUUUUGCAAGUGCAGCUCUUUCCCCUGCUUGACAGGGGAAUGUACUGAGCACUCCCAGAUGGGCCUUUCCCAAGCAGGAACCAAUGGGCCCAAAUGAAUCAAGUUGAAGGAGAGUGAGCAGAGUCAGCAGUGAGAGAAAGACUUAGCUGCAAGGUCAAAAUCCGUCUGAAAACAGACACGAUGGAAGACAGACAGUUCCUCCUGGAUCAUCGUAUAAAGAAAAGGGAUGGAUCAAGACAGGGAUUGCUGAUGCAUAUCUGCUCGCUGUUUGACUACAAAAUACUCUCAUGAUUGAUUCUGUGUCUGCCACCCAAGAUCAGUCUCAAGGAAAUGCUGACAAAACCCUGGCACCCAGAGUCACAGAGCUCAGUUUCCAGCCCUAGCACCACCCUUGAUAACUUGAGUGACCUUGGACUCCUGGUCUCUGCCUCAGUUUCCAAAUUAAAUGAGUGUGGUGAAAACUU
rnacentral:lncRNA from 10 species